CCUGAACUUCCCCAGGCUCCACCUCAGUGGGCACCUGGCUGGAGUUACUCCAGGGACCCCCUCCCACCGGGCUGUCUCAUCUGCACCCUUGGGAUGCGGGGCAAAGAGGGCUGGGAGUCUUCCAGUUCAGCAGGUCAAGUGCCCUCAGUAUGGCACUUUGCCCCACUCUGUGCUGUGGAGCCCCUCUGGCUCCUCCUCUCCAAGAGUUACUGAGACAUAUAUUGCAGCAACAGGUCAGAAUCAAGCUAAACUGACAAGUAAUUUUUAGGAAAAAAGAUCUGAAGGAAGCACUGAAAUUGAAGAAGAAACUCUAAGCCACACAUAAGAAUUUGCUAAUUCAGCCAAGCUCAGAGACCAAAACCCCUUUCUUUCAUGAAGCAUGUUCCUGGAAUUGCAAGCAAAUUUUCCACAGCUUGACUUGGAAAUGCAUGUGCUCCCACAGUCACGUGACCCCCUUGGACGACAAACACAGCGACUUUGUGAGCAGUCUGCCGAUGAUAACAUUCCUGCAGCAGCCUUCUGAACAGUCAGCUCUAGCUCAUAGCACCUGCUUUGCACAGGACAGGUGCCCAUUUGGUGAACAAAUGAGUUAAUGAAUAAAUGAGUAAAACAAACAUGAGCCCAGAAGACUGGAUAGAGGAAGGCCAUCAACCCGGAAAACAACCACAAUGCCACCACCGGAAAGGCUCAAGGGCCUCAGAGGAUUCUGGGAGAGUGACAGAGGAGGCAAUGGGAAGAACAGAGCUCCACCCAGUUCAUCCCUACACCCAUGGUAAACUCCCAGUAACACACCCAGUAGUGGAGCCAACAUGGAUAAGAGAAAUUUGGCUACACUGUGAAUGGUUCCCAUCCUCAGAGCAGCCCUGCCCUCAAAGGGUGGGAAGAUGUUGUCUUCCUGGGGAGACGGAAAGUUAGGAAGGGUGGGCAUGGAGGCCUUAGGAAGAGAUAGCCUUGAUCAUCUGAAACUUUGAGUUCCUUGUAUAGUCAGUUGUAUAUAAGUUUCACUUUAUUUCUGUGCUUUUUGUGAGAAUACAGACUGAAAAAAUGGUUUUAUCCACUCACAUUAGGACAAUUGAAAUUUUCAGACUUCACUUGCAUGCAUGGCAGGGUUUCACUGUCCAUAUAGUUCUUGCCCCCACCUCUUAAAAGCAUGCCCAAAGCUAAGACACUAUAGAUCUGGGUGACAACAUGCAGCUCCAAGCCUCUCUCGACAAGACCACUGCCCCCUCCCUUUUGUCUCCCCGUCUUACUUUUCUCUUCCACCACAUCUACCAGCCACAGUUUUAUUUUUUUGUAUGUCCCUGCCUCUCCUGCAAGGAGUUAAGGGACUGGGUCACAGUCCUAGAACUGCUGACCUAUAUCUGUGCUAUGAAGAGCAGCAGCUCAUGGCUCAGGCCCUCAGGAAAAGUGACAGCAGUGAUCUUGUGUGUUAACGUCACUGCCUUCCACAUUCAUAGCUUCACAUACUGCAUCAUUCAUUGAAAAAUUAAAAUUCAUCAUCUUUCCCCAGAAUGAGGCUAACAGACUUUAAUUGUAAGAAUCAGGAAAAGCUGUGACAUUUUAAUUAUAACAGUUUUUAAUUAAAGGAGUAUUACCUCAUUUGAUCUGUUAAAGAAAAAUUAUUCAUGAUACUUGUCAAAGAUGGCAAGGUAGGCUUUAUGCAAGGGGUCCAUGGUGAUUGGCAUCAGGUCUUGUAGUGAGGGAAAAAGACUGGACUCAACUCUGGCUCCAAAAAGGAUAAGUAGGGAUUUAUUACAAGGAGCAGGGUGGAGGUCAAUAGAUGGAAAAUUACUAUGAGGAAUUGUCAGGGAUAAGGUGUUUCUGGCUAAAUUGACUUGACAGUUUAUUGCUGAAGGCAAGGGUGGUCAGAUACCAGAGUAGGGGUCUUGGUUAAUUUGGCUUAGCAGGAUUCUUGCUCAAACUGGAUUCUGGCCGGGCAUGGUGGCUCAUGCUUGUAAUCCCAGCAUUUUGGGAGGCUGAGGAGAAGGGCGAUCAUGAGGUCAGGAGUUCAAGACCAGCCUGGCCAACACAGUGAAACCCCAUCUCUACUAAAAAUACAAAAAUUAGCUGAGUGUGGUG
rnacentral:lncRNA from 10 species